rnacentral:pre_miRNA from 1 species
AGUGCUAUUGCUGAAUCAUAUGGUAAGACUAUGUUUAGUCUGUAAGAAACAGCCAAGCUGUCUUCCAAAGUAGCUGUAUCAUUUUGCAUUCUUACCAGCAAU